UUAAGUCGACCGCCUGGGGAGUACGGCCGCAAGGUUAAAACUCAAAUGAAUUGACGGGGGCCCGCACAAGCGGUGGAGCAUGUGGUUUAAUUCGAUGCAACGCGAAGAACCUUACCUGGUCUUGACAUCCACGGAAGUUUUCAGAGAUGAGAAUGUGCCUUCGGGAACCGUGAGACAGGUGCUGCAUGGCUGUCGUCAGCUCGUGUUGUGAAAUGUUGGGUUAAGUCCCGCAACGAGCGCAACCCUUAUCCUUUGUUGCCAGCGGUCCGGCCGGGAACUCAAAGGAGACUGCCAGUGAUAAACUGGAGGAAGGUGGGGAUGACGUCAAGUCAUCAUGGCCCUUACGACCAGGGCUACACACGUGCUACAAUGGCGCAUACAAAGAGAAGCGACCUCGCGAGAGCAAGCGGACCUCAUAAAGUGCGUCGUAGUCCGGAUUGGAGUCUGCAACUCGACUCCAUGAAGUCGGAAUCGCUAGUAAUCGUGGAUCAGAAUGCCACGGUGAAUACGUUCCCGGGCCUUGUACACACCGCCCGUCACACCAUGGGAGUGGGUUGCAAAAGAAGUAGGUAGCUUAACCUUCGGGAGGGCGCUUACCACUUUGUGAUUCAUGACUGGGGUGAAGUCGUAACAAGGUAACCGUAGGGGAACCUGCGGUUGGAUCACCUCCUUACCUUAAAGAAGC
rnacentral:rRNA from 3 species